rnacentral:rRNA from 1 species
UAGGGAAUCUUCCACAAUGGACGCAAGUCUGAUGGAGCAACGGCCGCGUGAGUGAAGAAGGUCUUCGGAUCGUAAAGCUCUGUUGUUGGUGAAGAAGGAUAGAGGCAGUAACUGGUCUUUAUUUGACGGUAAUCAACCAGAAAGUCACGGCUAACUACGUGCCAGCAGCCGCGGUAAUACGUAGGUGGCAAGCGUUGUCCGGAUUUAUUGGGCGUAAAGCGAGCGCAGGCGGAAUGAUAAGUCUGAUGUGAAAGCCCACGGCUCAACCGUGGAACUGCAUCGGAAACUGUCAUUCUUGAGUGCAGAAGAGGAGAGUGGAACUCCAUGUGUAGCGGUGGAAUGCGUAGAUAUAUGGAAGAACACCAGUGGCGAAGGCGGCUCUCUGGUCUGCAACUGACGCUGAGGCUCGAAAGCAUGGGUAGCGAACAGGAUUAGAUACCCUGGUAGUCCAUGCCGUAAACGAUGAGC